UGGGGAAUUUUGGACAAUGGGGGAAACCCUGAUCCAGCCAUCCCGCGUGUGCGAUGAAGGCCUUCGGGUUGUAAAGCACUUUUGGCAGGAAAGAAACGUCAUGGGUUAAUACCCCGUGAAACUGACGGUACCUGCAGAAUAAGCACCGGCUAACUACGUGCCAGCAGCCGCGGUAAUACGUAGGGUGCAAGCGUUAAUCGGAAUUACUGGGCGUAAAGCGUGCGCAGGCGGUUCGGAAAGAAAGAUGUGAAAUCCCAGAGCUCAACUUUGGAACUGCAUUUUAAACUACCGGGCUAGAGUGUGUCAAAGGGAGGUGGAAUUCCGCGUGUAGCAGUGAAAUGCGUAGAUAUGCGGAGGAACACCGAUGGCGAAGGCAGCCUCCUGGGAUAACACUGACGCUCAUGCACGAACGCGUGGGGAGCAAACAGG
rnacentral:rRNA from 1 species